UGUGUAGGCGGUUUGGUAAGUCUGGUGUGAAAUCUCCCGGCUCAACUGGGAGGGUGCGCCGGAAACUGCCGGACUCGAGUGCGGGAGAGGAGAGUGGAAUUCCUGGUGUAGCGGUGAAAUGCGUAGAUAUCAGGAGGAACACCGGUGGUGUAGACGGCUCUCUGGACCGUAACUGACGCUGAAACACGAAAGCGUGGGUAGCAAACAGGAUUAGAUACCCUGGUAGUCCACGCCCUAAACGAUGCAUAUUUGGUGUGGGUCAUUUCAGUUGAUCCGUGCCGGAGCUAACGCGUUAAAUAUGCCGCCUGGGGAGUACAGUCGCAAGGCUGAA
rnacentral:rRNA from 1 species